CGUAGAGCUUCUCAUAGGACUCAUAUGGUGGAAUGUCGAUCCGGUUAAAGCUGAAAAAGGACAAAAGAAUGAGAGUCACUGCAUGGGCAGUCCAGCCCUAGGACCAACCUCAAGGCCAAGGACAGGUGGCAAGAAUAGAGACAAGGUCGCACUGGGUUGCCCAGGCUGCUCUCAAACUCCUGGCCUCAAGUGAUCCUCCUGCCGUGGCCUUCCAACAUGCUGGGAUUACAGGGGGAAACUGUUUUCCAAUAUUUGUGGAAAGAAAAAUGUCCUUUAAGAAGCAAACAAAAAAAUACAAAAUUGUGACCCAGAGGACAUGCAGUGACUUCUUCACUUCCUGGAGGUGCUGUGGCUUUUGAGUUCUGAUGAUGACAAAAAUAUUUUGGCAGAGACUCGGUCUAAAACAAAACUAACAUGACCGCCUAUCCUCCAGGACAGGCCCCAGGACUCAGUGACCUGCCAGCCGCAGUGCUUACCAGGCACGUUUCUGCCAUUAGGUUUCAGUUCAUGCUGAAGAAUCCGCCCGAAGGCAUUGUGUUCCACGCAGAAGGUGUGGUCCAGCACCGGUGUGAUGUCAUUCUCUCUGUUGAAGACAGAAGGUGACGUCAGUUAGAGUUCAGCCACCAUGUGCCAAUGAAAGGAACAUCAAGUAGGGCCAUCGGGUAGACAGAGAGAUGGCGUUUAGGACUCCCAGACCCAGGCUGCAAGAGAGGACAGCCGCAGGCGGACACGAAACCCAUAUGGGGGCGGCACCGCAAAUGGUGCUGGAGGACCCGGAGACCACAGUUCUGGUUCCAGAUGUCCCCGACUCCUGGCUUCCUCACUCACAGAAGGCGGGCAGCACUGAAGGCAGGAAAUUGACCUGGAGAUGAAGCCACACCAAGAAAAUACGAGUCCCGCCUUAGAGCCAGCCUUUCCAAACACAUCAGUUCAAAUGCAAAAGCACUUAAAAGUGAAAAUUAGCUCCUGAAUCUGCCAUAGGCAGAUUGGAAGUUUUGUUGUUGUUGGUUUUUUUUUGAGACAGAGACUCACUUUGUCAUCCAGGCUGGAGUGCAGUGGUGCAAUCUCAACUCACUGCAACCCCUGCUUCCUGGGUUCAAGAAGUUCUCCUGCCUCAGCCUUUUAGGAGCUGGGACUACAGGCACAUGUCACACCUGGCUUUGUUUGUGUGUUUUUAGUAGACACGGGGUUUCACCAUGUUGGCCAGGCUGGUCUCGAACUCCUGAUCUCAAGUGAAGUGCUUAAUAACAGGCAAUGAGCCAACAUACUGAGUGGAAGAUUUUCUACCCGGUCCCUGGGGUCCCCUCUUCACGUUGGAACAUGGGACAUACAACUAGGAGGCCCCCACUCCCACUCAUCCACAUUCCUUCUGUCUGCCAGAGCAGAGCCUGAUCUUUCAUCCCCACGAAAUCCACAAGACCUGUGACACAGUUCAUCUUGUCAUUGCCUGCUGCCCUUAACAGAAUGUCUAGAAUAAUUCUAAAGCAGAGGUACCUAAAUGUUCAAUUUGUUUUGAUAUGGGCUUGGCUCCUGUGAGGUUAACUGGAGACUCCCGUGAGUGUCACACACACCCCGAGCCUGGGGAGUAGUCUGUUAAAGUUCGUGAUCUUACCUUCAUAAUUCAAGGAAAUGAAAGAAUCUAGUCCCUGAAGAGAAGCCGGCCCAACAUCACAAGGAAAAUAAGGCAACUGAGUUUUUUGUUUUUUUUCUUUGGCUAGAUCUGGUGGGGUGGUUUUUUUUUUGUAUUUAUUGUAGUAGUAGGGUCUCAGGACGUUGCCCAGGCCCAGUCUCAAACUCCUGGGCUCAAGCAAUCUGCCCACUCUGGCCUCCCAAAGAACCUUCUUUUUUGUUUCAGGUUAUUUAAUACAAUGGCUUCUUUGUGUCUCUUCUUCAAUUUCACACCCAUCCCCAAAAUACACAAACGCACACGCAUGCAUGCAGACAACAGAGGUGGUGGCAUGUCCCACGCCAGGUAACCGUGCACCAUCAGUCAAUACUUACAGGAUCCACACCAGGCUCUUAUGCAGCUCCGGGUCCACGGAUUCCAGAUCCGAGAGCUGGAUGGGCUUUCCCAGGAGCUGCUUAUAGAAGGGCACUGUGAAGCCCCCAUUGAUGUAGUGCCCAUGAAACACGGCCAGCCCCAUGAUCCGCCCCACAAAGUGGAAGUAAGACAAGUGGUCCUGUAGGGGGCACCAGAAAACACAAAUUCAUCAGCACAACGCUGGUCAAUGUGGGAGUCUUCUUGGGAAGAGUGUCCCAGAGGCAACUCAGGAACUCACAGGCCGGGCUCAUGAGCAAGUGAAAGAAGGCUGCUUGUGUAGCUGAAUUUGCAUAGAGUCACUGGACAAUUUCAGGGCCAAUACCUCCUCAGACUAUAUAACUUGCAGAGGAGCCCAGUCCAGUGCAAAAUGAAAAUGCAGAGCCCAUGUUCAGCAACGACUGAGCAUUUCACCUUGUGACAACAGAAUCAAACCAAGCAUGGGGCCUUGACACUGCAGGGCCGCGGCAUCCUGCAGGACGCACGCCCAGGAAGCCAGCCCUGCAUUCCCUCCCACUGCACAAGAAAGACAAGGGCAAGCCCCCUUCUUCCACCACCCCUCCCUUGAUCCAGAAUGAAAGGAAUGAGGGAGGGAAGAAAUUCUAAGAAGGGGGAACAAAAAGACCACAGGAAAAUAUGUAUGAAUAAGCCAAGUAAAAUAAACAAUUCUAGGCUGGGCGUGGUUGCCCGUGCCUGUAAUCCCAGCACUUUGGGAGGCUGAGGCAGGCAGAUCACCUGACAUCAGGAGGUUGAAACCAGCCUGGCCAACAUGGUAAAGCCCCAUCUCCACUAAAAAUACAAAAACUAGCUGGGUACAGUGGCACAAGCCUGUAAUCCAAGCUACUCGGGAGGUUGAGGCGGGAGAAUUGCUUGAACCUGGAAGGCGGAGGUUGCAGUGAACUGAGAUCACAUCACUGCACUCCAGCCUGAUUAACAGAGCAAGACUACGUCUCAAAAAAAAAAACCAUUCUAGAACCAGAGCCGUCUGGUUUUUAACUCAGGAACCAUACGCCUCUGCUUUCAGGUUUGAAUUAUGUUCAUCUCAGAAAAUGAGUGAAAACUCUGCUUCCAUGUUGGUAAAAGGUUCUUCCACAUUUGAAUGCACAGGGGAGCCUGUCCCAACUUCGCCUCAGUGGCCUGAGCAGGACGCUGGUGAAGGCCGUGCCACAGGAGGAGUCUGCCCCUGGCCGGUGGCCCACCCUCAGGCGGAGUGUGCAAACACCACGCUGACUUCCUCAUCUCUAAAACAAGCACGCUAAGGGUGGCAUUUGUGGCUUAAGCCAGUUCUGGAAAGAUUCCAGUUGUGACUAGGAGGAGACUGGACUUCAGCAUCCACUCCUUAGAAUGCCACCAUUAACAAAUACAGUCAUCACACCAGAGUUUCCUCAGUGACCAUGAAGUGUCCUGAGUAUAUGAACAGCUCGAUCUCCCUCUUCAUCUCCUUCAACACAACAUGCCCAGUGAUCACAAUCUCUGAAAAUACAGGACCAAAAUCCAUCUUAAUCCAGUUUCCACUUUACCUUUCCAUGUUUUGCUUACCACCGCCUUUAAGUCUACAUGAAUAAACCAAGAACGGAGAAUGAAACUGAAACUCCAUCUCAAAAAUUCUCCAACCCAGUUUCCCCUUUGUUCAUUCAUACUUACGGGGUUGAUUGAAGAAUCUGGAUUUAUUUGCAACAUGUAAAUAUUGUCUGUGGAAUACUGGAAGAGCCCAUAAUAUGGAUUCAGCAUUUCAUGGCACAACAAAUAAAGCCAUUCCCUAGGAAAAAACAUUCAUUCAUUUUAUAUGUGCUAAAAUUUCUAGAUUUUUUUUUCUGAGACAGUCUCACUCUGUCACCAGGUUUGGAGUGCAGUGGCGCGAUCUCGGCUCACUGUAACCUCUGCCUUCCAGGUACAGGCGUGUGCCACCAGGCCUGGCUAACUUCUGUAUUUUCAUAGAGACAGGGUUUUACCAUGUUGGCCAGGGUGGUCUCAAACUCCUGACCUCAAAUGAUCCACCCACUUUGGCCUCCCAAAAUGCUGGGAUUACAGGUGUAAGCCAUCACACCAGGCCCGAGUUAUUAUUUUCUGAAUUUUUUAAAUGUUUUCAUCGUUUUAUUAUUUUUUUAACUCCAAAGUUCAAAACAGUUAAGCAAAAAAAAAGAAAAAGAAAGCAUUUUAAAUAGAGAUUGUAUGAUUCAGUGGCUACACUCAGGUUGCGAUAAGCCCAGCUAGCAGGGGAACUCUUAGACAAACACCUGUGGCAGAUACGCAAACAAUCUUUUAUUCAUUCUACUCAAAACGCCUUUUCAAUGGAUCACAUUAAGAUAGCAGCUCCAAAUUUUAUUUGGACUUUUCAAACAGAAAUGAGAGAGCACAGGGAAGGAUAAGCACAAAUGCAGAUAAUCUGUCCAAGAAAAUUGCUAGAAUACACAAAAAAUAUUAAAUGAAAACAGUUCUGUAUUGCACUCAGAAGAACAGAAAGGAACUGCCAGAAGAGAUGAGACUCCGAUUACUACAAAGCAACACUGCUGAAUUUUCAUUCCAAAGUUUGGAGUUUAGAUUUGAGAAGAACCUUUUUUGAAAAAGACAAAGACCUGCAAUUGUCUAGAGAGGAAGUGAUUACAAUACAAGCAAACGCCAUGGACGAGGUAGAUACAAUCAGCUCUGCUCUGGAAGUGGUAAGGGAAGCAAUAACUAAAGGCAAGAGAGAGCGGCUACAGGAAGGACUGCGGACUAAACACUGGGGAAAUGAGUGUAGCCUGGCUCUCACAGAUCAGAUAAUGAAUCCACACCUGCACAUGUGUAAUCCACAUGCAACUGACUUCUCUCCACCCUCUCUGAGAUAGGCAUGAUCCCAUUUAGAUGGGAGGAAGACUCCAGUGGUGAAAUAACACUACAAGACCAAGCUGGAGGUGGCAAAGCAGGGAUUCUCAACUCUUUCUACUCCAGCAUCAUGCCGUUCAAGGGGACGUCACAAAGACCUAUCUCCACACAGAAGACUGGACAACUAAGGAAAAUGCAGAAGGAAGGUAACUCCUACCAAACCAAACCAGGGAGUCUGAUGGCUAAGUCACAAGCAUUUCAGAACGACCAAAGCAAGGAAAUGUGCAAAGAAAUUAACAAAAAGUAAAAUUCAUUCAUCUGGUACAUAUAUACAGAGGUAAGUGUUUGCUAUGUGUUAGGUGCUGUUCUAAGAACUGGGGAUCAGCUGUGAACAAGACAGGGUUCCCGACUGCAUGCAGUUUGAGUCUCUCGGAAGAUGCAGACGAGAAACAUCACACACCUGUGCAGUGCACUUUGGGAGGACAAGAUGGGAGGAUGGCUUGACCCCAGGAGUUUGAGACCAGCCUGGGCAACAUAGUGAGACCUCAUCUCUACAAAAAAACUUAUAAAAGUAGCCAGGCAUGGUGGUGCACACAUGUAGUUCCAGCUACUUGGGAGGCUGAGGUGGGAGGCUUGCUUGAGCCUAGGAGGUCGAGGCUGCAGUGAGCUAUGAUUGUGCCACUGUAUCCAGCCUGGGCGACAGAGCAAGACCCUGUCUCAUAGAAAAAAAAAAAAAAAAUGACAAAACCACCCACAAUUGUCUUGAAGGUGAAAAGAGGCAGGACAUGAAAUAGCAGCUUUUCAUCAUUCUAUUCUGUUUUUUAUAUCAAUUUCUUGAAUUAUUUUGACCAAAAUUUCAACAUUUUAUCUUGCAAAAUUCCUUUAACACAAAUGUAAUUUACAUGCAAUUUACAUGCACAGAUGCAAUCCCUGUGGAGAGGAAAGCAAGGCUGCCUCCUGUGCUAAUUCAGGAACAUGUCCCUUAAGUUUCAGAUGAAGAGAGUGAGUUUAAAAGUUUAAUUCCAGCUUUACAGGAAGUCAGUCAGUGGUGACAAUCAGGGCUAUUCUGGUGGGUUAUGGCAAGAGGCUGGCACAAGCUCUGAAUUCUUAUUCUCAGCAGGGUGGCUGAAGCCAGCGCACGAUGGCCUGACUGCUCCAAGGAUACAUCGGCCCUGCCCAGGAGUGCUUGGUGAUGAGCACUAGAGAAGGGCAAGUGACUUCUCUUGAAAAAACUGUUAGAACUAUGCUGAAAUCCACGCAGCAGAGAAGGUGAAUGAAUUCGCAACUCACCUCGCCACUCCACCGUAAUCCAAACCUUCUUCCCCACGGAAUUUCACCAUGAGCCGUUUUUUCAAAUCUUUCGGUCUCAUCUUCAUUAUCUGGCGGGUCUGGGCAGUGGCCCUGAACUCUCUACCUCGAAGAUUUCUUCUCUGGACACUUCGAUUCGGCAAUGACCAGCCUGGGGCUGCUGAAGGGACAGUUCGUGUCUGAGGACCUUCAGCUUCUGGACUAGAUCUCUUUCGUAUCUCUGGGCAGGAAGCUCCUCAUCCUCCACAGAGCCCUCGCUGGGCAGUGGCAGCGGCUGGCUGGGCUCCUUGAGUUGGCACUGGUGACUUGAGAAGAAGAGACACAGAAAGUCACUCCAAAGCCCCAGCCAAGAAAGCUGCAAGCACCCACAUAUGCGACAGGGUUGGAGGAGAGAGCUUGCUGCACACAACUUCAGGCAGAAUUUGCUUCCCUGAUGACAUAACGAUGUACCUUGCUAGCUGUGUCAAAGCUGCUGAUGGCCACAGAAGCCCAAAUAUAAGUCUACAGUACAGUAAAGGAGGCACCCCAGGCCUGGCAUGGUAGCUUACACCUAUAAUCCCACCACUUGGGGAGGCUGAGGUGAGAGGAUCACCUGAAGUCAGGAGUUCAAGACCAGCCUGGCCAACAUGGCAAAACUGUGUCUCUACUAAAAAUGCAAGAAAUCUGCCAGGUAUGGUGGUGCGCACCUAUAAUCCCAGCUGUUUGGGAAGCUGAGGCAUGAGAAUUGCUUGAACCUGAGAGGCGGAGGUUGCAGUGAGCCAAGAUCAUGCCACUAUCCUCCAGCCUGGGCGACAGAGCCAAACUCCGUCUCCAGAAAAAAAAAAAAAAAAAGAAGUACCCCAAUUCCAAGCAACCACUUA